rnacentral:rRNA from 1 species
CGUGCUAACACAUGCAAGUCGAGCGGUACAGGUCUAGUUUACUAGAUGCUGACGAGUGGCGGACGGCUGAGUAACGCGUGGGAACGUGCCCCAGAGUGGGGGAUAAGCAUCGGAAACGAUGUCUAAUACCGCAUAUGGUCCUUGGAAGCCAUCUCUAAAGGAAUAAUCCCCGCUUUGGGAGCGGCACCCCGUUACAUUAGGUAGUUGGUAGGGUAAUGGCCUACCAAGCCUACGAUCUAUAACUGGUCUGAGAGGAUGAUCAGGCAGAUUGGAACUGAGACACGGCCCAGACUCCUACGGGAGGCAGCAGUGAGGAAUCUUCCACAAUGGGCGAAAGCCUGAUGGAGCAACGCCGCGUGAAGGAUGAAGGCCCUAGGGUCGUAAACUUCUGUUAGAAGUGAAGAAUAUGGACGGUAACUUAUGAAGAAGCUCCGGCUAACUACGUCCAGCAGCCGCGGUCAUACGUUAGGAUCCCAAGCGUUAUCCGGAGUGACUGGGCGU